rnacentral:sRNA from 1 species
GGCAGGGGCUGGGGUGGUGCUGCUGCUAUGAGCUGCACCAUCGAGAAGAUCCUGACAGACGCCAAGACGCUGCUGGAGAGGCUGCGGGAGCACGAUGCGGCCGCCGAGUCGCUGGUGGAUCAGUCGGCAGCGCUGCACCGGCGGGUAGCAGCUAUGCGGGAGGCGGGGACAGCGCUUCCGGACCAGUAUCAAGAGGAUGCAUCCGAUAUGAAGGACAUGUCCAAAUACAAACCUCACAUUCUGCUGUCCCAAGAGAACACACAGAUUAGAGACUUGCAACAGGAAAACAGAGAGCUGUGGAUUUCCUUGGAGGAACACCAGGAUGCUUUGGAACUCAUCAUGAGCAAAUAUCGGAAACAGAUGUUACAGUUAAUGGUUGCUAAAAAAGCGGUGGAUGCUGAACCAGUCCUGAAAGCUCACCAGUCUCACUCUGCAGUAAGAAACUUUGAAUAAAUUCGAAGUGAACCAAA